AGCUGGUCCAAGUGCACAACUAGUUACAAAUCUCUUUGUUCCUUCUCUACUUCCACUGCUUCACUUGACUAGCCUUAA
rnacentral:Y_RNA from 1 species